GAUGAGAACGCAGCGAAAUGCGAUAAGUAAUGUGAAUUGCAGAAUUCAGUGAAUCAUCGAAUCUUUGAACGCACCUUGCGCCCUUUGGCCAUUCCGAAGGGCAUGCCUGUUUGAGUAUCAUGAACACCUCAACUCUUCAUGGUUUUCCAUGAUGAGCUUGGACUUUGGGGGUCUUGCUGGCCUGUGGGUCGGCUCCUCUCAAAUGAAUCAGCUUGCCGGUUUUUGGUGGGCAUCACAGGUGUGAUAACUAUCUACGCUUGUGGUUUUCCACCAGGGUAACCUUCAGCAGUGGAGGUUCACUGGAGCUUACAAAUGUCUCUCCUCUGUGAGGACAGCCCUUUGAAUGUUUGAUCUCAAAUCAGGUAGGACUACCCGCUGAACUUAAGCAUAUCAAUAAGCGGAGGA
rnacentral:misc_RNA from 1 species